rnacentral:rRNA from 1 species
GACGAACGCUGGCGGCGUGCUUAACACAUGCAAGUCGAACGGAAAGGCCCUGCUUUUGUGGGGUGCUCGAGUGGCGAACGGGUGAGUAACACGUGAGUAACCUGCCCUUGACUUUGGGAUAACUUCAGGAAACUGGGGCUAAUACCGGAUAGGAGCUCUUGCUGCAUGUUGGGGGUUGGAAAGUUUCGGCGGUUGGGGAUGGACUCGCGGCUUAUCAGCUUGUUGGUGGGGUAGUGGCUUACCAAGGCUUUGACGGGUAGCCGGCCUGAGAGGGUAACCGGCCACAUUGGGACUGAGAUACGGCCCAGACUCCUACGGGAGGCAGCAGUGGGGAAUAUUGCACAAUGGGCGGAAGCCUGAUGCAGCAACGCCGCGUGCGGGAUGACGGCCUUCGGGUUGUAAACCGCUUUCGCCUGUGACGAAGCGUGAGUGACGGUAAUGGGUAAAGAAGCACCGGCUAACUACGUG